AUGCACGCUGGCGGCGUGCCUCAUACAUGCAAGUCGAGCGAACAGAUGAGGAGCUUGCUCCUCUGACGUUAGCGGCGGACGGGUGAGUAACACGUGGAUAACCUACCUAUAAGACUGGGAUAACUUCGGGAAACCGGAGCUAAUACCGGAUAAUAUAUUGAACCGCAUGGUUCAAUAGUGAAAGACGGUUUUGCUGUCACUUAUAGAUGGAUCCGCGCCGCAUUAGCUAGUUGGUAAGGUAACGGCUUACCAAGGCGACGAUGCGUAGCCGACCUGAGAGGGUGAUCGGCCACACUGGAACUGAGACACGGUCCAGACUCCUACGGGAGGCAGCAGUAGGGAAUCUUCCGCAAUGGGCGAAAGCCUGACGGAGCAACGCCGCGUGAGUGAUGAAGGUCUUCGGAUCGUAAAACUCUGUUAUUAGGGAAGAACAAAUGUGUAAGUAACUAUGCACGUCUUGACGGUACCUAAUCAGAAAGCCACGGCUAACUACGUG
rnacentral:rRNA from 1 species